UAGGGAAUCUUCCGCAAUGGACGCAAGUCUGACGGAGCAACGCCGCGUGAGUGAAGAAGGAUUUCGGUUCGUAAAACUCUGUUGUUAGAGAAGAACAGCGCAUAGAGUAACUGUUAUGCGUGUGACGGUAUCUAACCAGAAAGCCACGGCUAACUACGUGCCAGCAGCCGCGGUAAUACGUAGGUGGCAAGCGUUGUCCGGAUUUAUUGGGCGUAAAGCGAGCGCAGGCGGUCAAUUAAGUCUGAUGUGAAAGCCCCCGGCUCAACCGGGGAGGGUCAUUGGAAACUGGUUGACUUGAGUGCAGAAGAGGAGAGUGGAAUUCCAUGUGUAGCGGUGAAAUGCGUAGAUAUAUGGAGGAACACCAGUGGCGAAGGCAGGUCUCUGGGCUGUUACUGACGCUGAGAAGCGAAAGCGUGGGGAGCGAACAGG
rnacentral:rRNA from 1 species